AUUGAACGCUGGCGGCAGGCCUAACACAUGCAAGUCGAGCGGAUGAAGGCAGCUUGCUCCUGGAUUCAGCGGCGGACGGGUGAGUAAUGCCUAGGAAUCUGCCUGGUAGUGGGGGAUAACGUCCGGAAACGGGCGCUAAUACCGCAUACGUCCUGAGGGAGAAAGUGGGGGAUCUUCGGACCUCACGCUAUCAGAUGAGCCUAGGUCGGAUUAGCUAGUUGGUGGGGUAAAGGCCUACCAAGGCGACGAUCCGUAACUGGUCUGAGAGGAUGAUCAGUCACACUGGAACUGAUACACGGUCCAGACUCCUACGGGAGGCAGCAGUGGGGAAUAUUGGACAAUGGGCGAAAGCCUGAUCCAGCCAUGCCGCGUGUGUGAAGAAGGUCUUCGGAUUGUAAAGCACUUUAAGUUGGGAGGAAGGGCAGUAAGUUAAUACCUUGCUGUUUUGACGUUACCAACAGAAUAAGCACCGGCUAACUUCGUG
rnacentral:rRNA from 1 species